UCUAUCUUUAUUUAUCCAAAUAAAUGAUAUUAAUGUUUUGUAUAUAUCAAGACAUCUGUGUUCAUGUACAUUGUGUAUAAAGUUUACAUACAUUUAAAUUCAUCUUAAUAUUGCAUAACAAAUUUAUUCAAACGGCAUAAAAUGAUACUUCAAGGAACAAAAAGGCAUUUAAGUGAUUUUUUUAGCAAAUUUGUUCCAAUGUACACAUUAUUCUAUUCUAACA